AGCAGCCGCGGUAAUUCCAGCUCCAAUAGCGUAUAUUAAAGUUGUUGCAGUUAAAAAAGCUCGUAGUUGAAUUUUGGGUCUGGCCGGGCGGUCCGCCCUCUGGGUGAGCACUGUUCCGACGCCGGGCCUAUCCUUCUGGUGAGACGGCAUGUCCUUUGUUGGGUGUGUCGGGGAACCAGGACCAUUACCUUGAAAAAAAUUAGAGUGUUCAAAGCAGGCGUAUGCUCGGAUACAUUAGCAUGGAAUAAUGAAAUAGGACGCGUGGUGCUAUUUUGUUGGUUUCUAGAACCGCCGUAAUGAUUAAUAGGGAUAGUUGGGGGCAUUAGUAUUCAAUUGUCAGAGGUGAAAUUCUUGGAUUUAUUGAAGACUAACUUCUGCGAAAGCAUUUGCCAAGGAUGUUUU
rnacentral:rRNA from 1 species